CUGUCAUCCAUGGGAGGCAGCAGAUUGGAGCGGAGAGCCAGGCACUUGACUAGAAGUUACUUGAGGAGAAGACCUUCUCCUAUAGAUUUUUGCAGACUGUGGAUUUGGCACCCCAGUUUUUACUUCAUAAAUGCUGAGGAAAUAUUUCCUUGCUGAAUAAUUUGAAAAUACGGAAGAGAUUGAUCAAUACACUCAUCUUUCUGCAAUCAUCUGAGAGGCCAAAAUGGCCUUGGGGAUGAUGUAUGACACACACAAUGUGAGUCCCUAAAAGCUUCUGGUCUCUGAAGGUUAUUACAGAGACAACCAUGGGAAGUAAUAAAGCUGUGUCGUUUAUU
rnacentral:lncRNA from 1 species